UACGAAGGGGGCUAGCGUUGCUCGGAAUCACUGGGCGUAGAGGGCGCGUAGGCGGGCCGCCAAGUCUGAGGUGAAAGCCCACGGCUCAACCGUGGAAGUGCCUUGGAUACUGGCGGCCUCGAGGGAGGUAGGGGCGUGCGGAACUUCCGGUGGAGCGGUGAAAUGCGUAGAGAUCGGAAGGAACGCCGGUGGCGAAAGCGGCACGCUGGACCUCUUCUGACGCUGAGGCGCGAAAGCCAGGGGAGCAAACGGG
rnacentral:rRNA from 1 species